UACGGAGGGUGCAAGCGUUAUCCGGAUUCACUGGGUUUAAAGGGUGCGUAGGUGGAUUAGUAAGUCAGUGGUGAAAUCUCCGGGCUUAACCCGGAAACUGCCAUUGAUACUAUUAGUCUUGAAUACCGUGGAGGUCAGCGGAAUAUGUCAUGUAGCGGUGAAAUGCUUAGAUAUGACAUAGAACACCAAUUGCGAAGGCAGCUGGCUACACGAAUAUUGACGCUCAUGCACGAAAGCGUGGGGAGCAAACAGG
rnacentral:rRNA from 1 species